CAAGCAUGACAUCCUGAUGGAUCGUGACCGUCUGGUUGUGGGAACGGACGAUGAUAAUAUAAUUAAUAAUAAUAACUAAAAAUAUUGUAGGUGCCCAUAACAUAGUCAGUGAGAGCCGCGGAUAAGCUUUUAUUAUUAUUCUUUUGGCCAGUGGUAGACUUGGUGGCAGUCAAUUCCACACAUCAGAAGUGUAUAUUUAGGAAGGCAGCACCCUUCAUCGCCAUCUCUCUCAUGCCCAACGAUCAGCCAAAACGAUUAAUCCAAACAUUUUAUGGAGGUGCCAGUGAUCGCAGAGUAGACUUGGGUGGCAGUCAAUUCCACACAUCAGAAGUGUAUAUUUAGGAAGGCAGCACCCUUCAUCGCCAUCUCUCUCACUCUCAAAAAAGAAA
rnacentral:lncRNA from 1 species